GAAGAAAUAACAUAAAAAAGUGGUGCACACUGAAUAACCCGCGUAGCGUAUUAUUCAAAAGUGCAACACAUUUUUAUGUUAUUUCAAUAGACAGUCAAUAUUUAUAUUUUACUUCUAAAUUCCAUUUUAAGCAGGAGUAAAUCAUGAAAAUAACGUUGAUGACGUCAUGGUCAAAUGACAAAAUCAUGUCUAUGAGAUGAUUGACAAAACACUAUCAGCCAACCAGAAGACGCGUUACAUCGAAAUUUAAUUAUUUAUGAUUGAGCCAACAAAAAAUCAUAUAUUCUUUUUAUAUCUCGUAGCUAAUGUCCCUUCAAAGAAAUAUUAUUAAUUGUUGAGUGUUUUUU
rnacentral:lncRNA from 1 species